ACUCUGGAUAACUUUGCGGAUCGCACGGUCUAGCACCGGCGACGGAUCAUUCAAGUGUCUGCCCUAUCAACUCUCGUCGGUACGGUAUUUGCCUACCGAGGUUCUUACGGGUGACGGGGAAUCAGGGUUCGAUUCCGGAGAGGGAGCCUGAGAAACGGCUACCACAUCCAAGGAAGGCAGCAGGCGCGCAAAUUACCCAUUCCCGACGCGGGGAGGUAGUGACGAAAAAUAACAAUGCAGGACUCGUUCGAGGCCCUGUAAUUGGAAUGAGUACACUUUAAAAGCUUUAACGAGUAUCCAUUGGAGGGCAAGUCUGGUGCCAGCAGCCGCGGUAAUUCCAGCUCCAAAAGUAUAUAUUUAAGUUGUUGCGGUUAAAAAGCUCGUAGUUGGAUUUUGGGCGCAGGCGGCCGGUCCGUCGCAAGGCGUGUACUGGACGUCCUGGCCUUCCCUCCGGUUCUCCGCCGGUGCUCUUGACUGAGUGUCGGCGGCGGCCGGAACGUUUACUUUGAAAAAAUUAGAGUGUUCAAAGCAGGCUCUCGAGCCUGGAUAAUGGUGCAUGGAAUAAUGGAAUAGGACCUCGGUUCUAUUUUGUUGGUUUUCGGAGCGCGAGGUAAUGAUUAAGAGGGACAGACGGGGGCAUUCGUACUGUGCCGUUAGAGGUGAAAUUCUUGGAUCGGCGCAAGACGAACGACUGCGAAAGCAUUUGCCAAGAAUGUUUUCUUUAAUCAAGAGCGAAAGUCAGAGGUUCGAAGACGAUCAGAUACCGUCCUAGUUCUGACUAUAAACGAUGCCAACUAGCGAUCGGGGGGCGUUACAUUGACGACCCCUCCGGCAGCUUACGGGAAACCAAAGUC
rnacentral:ncRNA from 1 species